CUGGCGGCGGUCUAACACAUGCAAGUCGAGCGGUAGCACAGAGAGCUUGCUCUCGGGUGACGAGCGGCGGACGGGUGAGUAAUGUCUGGGAAACUGCCUGAUGGAGGGGGAUAACUACUGGAAACGGUAGCUAAUACCGCAUAACGUCGCAAGACCAAAGUGGGGGACCUUCGGGCCUCAUGCCAUCAGAUGUGCCCAGAUGGGAUUAGCUAGUAGGUGGGGUAACGGCUCACCUAGGCGACGAUCCCUAGCUGGUCUGAGAGGAUGACCAGCCACACUGGAACUGAGACACGGUCCAGACUCCUACGGGAGGCAGCAGUGGGGAAUAUUGCACAAUGGGCGCAAGCCUGAUGCAGCCAUGCCGCGUGUAUGAAGAAGGCCUUCGGGUUGUAAAGUACUUUCAGCGGGGAGGAAGGCGAUAAGGUUAAUAACCUUGUCGAUUGACGUUACCGGCGGAAGAAGCACCGGCUAACUCCGUGCCAGCAGCCGCGGUAAUACGGAGGGUGCAAGCGUUAAUCGGAAUUACUGGGCGUAAAGCGCACGCGGGCGGUCUGUCAGUCGGAUGUGAAAUCUCCGAGCUCAACCUGGGAAACUGCAUUCGAAACUGUUAGGGCUAGAGUUCUUGCAAGAGGCGGGUAGAUUUCCAGGUGUACCGGGUGAAUGCCGUAGAUGAUCCUGGAGGAAAUACCUGUGACGAAGGGCGGCUCUCCUGGACAAAGACUGACGCUCAGGUGCGAAAAGUGUGGUGGAGCAAACAGGAUUAGAUACCCUGGUAGUCCCACGCCCGUAAACGAUGUCGAUUUGGAAGGUUGUGCCCUUGAGGCGUGGCUUCCGGAGCUAACGCGUUAAAUCGACCGCCUGGGGAGUACGGCCGCAAGGUUAAAACUCAAAUGAAUUGACGGGGGCCCGCACAAGCGGUGGAGCAUGUGGUUUAAUUCGAUGCAACGCGAAGAACCUUACCUGGUCUUGACAUCCACAGAACUUAGCAGAGAUGCUUUGGUGCCUUCGGGAACUGUGAGACAGGUGCUGCAUGGCUGUCGUCAGCUCGUGUUGUGAAAUGUUGGGUUAAGUCCCGCAACGAGCGCAACCCUUAUCCUUUGUUGCCAGCGGUCCGGCCGGGAACUCAAAGGAGACUGCCAGUGAUAAACUGGAGGAAGGUGGGGAUGACGUCAAGUCAUCAUGGCCCUUACGACCAGGGCUACACACGUGCUACAAUGGCAUAUACAAAGAGAAGCGACCUCGCGAGAGCAAGCGGACCUCAUAAAGUAUGUCGUAGUCCGGAUUGGAGUCUGCAACUCGACUCCAUGAAGUCGGAAUCGCUAGUAAUCGUAGAUCAGAAUGCUACGGUGAAUACGUUCCCGGGCCUUGUACACACCGCCCGUCACACCAUGGGAGUGGGUUGCAAAAGAAGUAGGUAGCUUAACCUUCGGGAGGGCGCU
rnacentral:rRNA from 1 species